GCAGUCCUCUGUCAGCCGACACCUGGCACAUAACUGUGGGGAGAGUGUCUACACCUGUCACCUUGGUGGCCACAGCUGCAAGGUGACUUCGUGGGGAUCUGUGAGCAUCUGAGGCCCCAGUAGGGGUGAGGAGGAGAACAGCAGCUCAUUUGUGCAGCAAGGACAUAUGGUGACUUCGAAGCCACUCAAUUUGGGCCUCCUUUCAAAUCUGCUGGGCCAGAUCAAGUUAGAGCUUCAGUGUAAGUCUCCCAAGGUCCCCUCCUGGGAGAAUGGCACCAGCCAAAAUUGGCCAGGAAGAAACCAUGGUCUCUAAGAGUUGAAUGGGACCCUGGUUGGCCUUUCCCUCCCCCAGGACAGGGUGCGCAGCUGUCUAUUCAAACAUUGAGAUUUACACUUAACCAGCAAUGUGGAAUAUUCUGGAUCCUUGUUAGAUCAGAGCCACAACCUCAAACUCACUGCUGUUCAGUGGCUUUUCCAUAUCACGAAAUUCUCCAGUUCUCUGAGGAUACUAGCUGGGUGUCCAGUGAUUCAAUUCUAGCAUGAACAAACUAGAGUUCCAUCAAAGCAUGCAGGUUAAGGGCUCAGUCCCACAAGCCUGCCCCCCACUUCAGACGCCAAUCUCAAAUAGUGGGCCCCCAGGUUAUUCACACUUCUGUCUGACUUGGCUACAAAUUGGGGACUCCUAUGAACCCUUCCUCAGGUCCCGUAAUUGGUUCUAACAGCUCACAUAACUCAGGGAAGCACUUAAUUUGUGUCUGCUGGUUAUUAUACGGGAUACAAUAAAGGGCACAGAUGGAAGCCAGGUGAGGAGCAGGUACAAAGGGAAAGGUCCCACAGGCUCCCGAGCAGAGGAGUUUCUGUCCUUAUGAAGUUGGAGUGCACCACUCUCCCAGAAUGGAUACUCACCCACCCAGAAGCUCUCCAAAUGCCUUUUUUGUUUGUUUGUUUUUGACAGAGUCUCGCUCUGUCACCCAGGCUGGAGUGUAAUGGCAUGAUCUCAGCUCACUGCAACCUCCAUCCCACGAGUUCAAGUGAUUCUCGUGCCUCAACCUCCCAAGUAGCUGGGAUUAUAGAUGAAGGCUACCAAGCUCAGCUAAUUUUUGUAUUUUUAGUAGAGACAGGGUUUUGCCACGUUGGCCAAGCUAGUCUCAAACUCCUGACCUCAAGUGAUUCUCCCACCUCAGCCUUUCAAAAUGCUGGGAUUACAGGCAUAAG
rnacentral:lncRNA from 1 species